UACGCUUCCGUACUAACGGGAGCUGCCGGAUACAAUCGGGAGAAAGAAGAGGAAAGCUGGCAGUUUGAGUGUGGUAAUUUUAACUUCCACUCAGAAGGCGGCAGCAUUAUGCCUUGACGUAUACAUGUCUACAAUAAGAAAUAAGUAGGUGCUCCGGCUUAAUAAUAAAAUGAACUUAACCCUGAAAUAUUGGAAAGAGGCGGCCACGCUGAUGCUGGCUGCUCGAUCAAGUUGCGUAUCCGUUGCACCGCGAUCAGCCAUUAGCCCACAUUUUGAUUAUGAGGUUCUGCUGCUUAAACGCAGUGCUAAAAGCAGCUUCAUGCCGAAUGCCUAUGUCUUUCCGGGUGGACUCAUUGACGAUUCGGAUUUCUCUUGCGACUGGGUCGAAAUCUUCAAGCCAUUUUCUUCCCUUCCUGGAUUCGGACUUGGGUUAGUUCAGCAAGAUCCGAAGACACGCUCCCCCAUGUUUGCCACAGAUAGAAUCAAACUAGGCUCCCUUGUGCCUGGGGAGGUGGCCUUUCGAAUAUGUGCAAUUCGUGAAACUUUCGAAGAGUCGGGAAUUAUGCUUGCAUUGCCACAAGGAAGGACAGGCCAGAAAACCGGGGAGUUGCCUGGUGCCAUACAGCAUGAUGAGCUGAACAGUUGGCGGGCUCGUGUUCUUCAAGAGCCUAAGCAGUUUACGGAAAUGUGCCGGGAACUACAAUGCAUGCCGAACAUCUGGGCCCUGUACGAGUGGAGCAACUGGCUCACUCCGCCAGAUGUAGGGAGGAAGGGGCGGUACGACACGGCAUUUUUCGUUUGCUGCAUACAAGACGUCCCAAGUACUGCUCAUGAUGAGAAGGAAAUCAUGCACUACAAGUGGGAAGAUCCAAUGGCAAUCCUAAGCAGUUAUAAGACCAAGGCAGUAUGGAUUGCACCUCCUCAGUUUUAUGAGCUUAGCAGAUUGUGUAACUUUCUCCAGCUGGAAGAUUUACAUCAGUUUGCUGUAGGUCGUGGACUGCAAGGGUGUGAAAGAUGGAUGCCUCUCCAGUUAUCAUUGGACAAUUCGUUAGUCUCUGUAUUACCAGGUGAUGCAUUAUAUCCUGAGAACCCAGACUGGAUUGAUAAUGGUGUAACCUUUCCAUUUGUAGAGAAGUCAGAUCUGCAAGAAAAAGUCUGUGCUCUUCACCGUUUGGAGUUCGAGAGUCUUUACAGCAUUACAGUGCACGUCAACAUCUUUCCAAAAUACAAACAUGUAAAUCCUAAAUGCAUACUAUUUGGAAAGUCAACAGGAUACAAUACAAAAUCUUCCACAGCAGUUGGUUGGGUCAGUGGAUUGUGGAGUAUUCAUGUUGAUGUAUGCUCUGCACCUUGUCUUGGAUGCACCAUUUGACUUCACAUCUCGUGUGAAAUAUUUCUUAUAGGACAAAAGGGGCACUGGAGAGUACCCAGAACAGUGAGGAGGAACCACUAAUAAAAAAGGACCUCCACACUGCAGUAAAAUGGUUGCACCAACAUAGACAGUUGUUCAGAGGUGCCGUGUCUGAGCCCCGUUUCCUGGAGAUGGAGGAGGAGGACCAAAGCCAAACUCUCCAGGACAUCAUUGAUCCAGUCGAAACUGAAGAUUUAAUUUUGACAAAAGAACCCUUUUUAUUUAUUUUUCUGUUUUGGGAUGAUAUGGAACUUUUCACUCAGGAAUCUCGGGAUAAAAUGAAACAAAGUAAACUGCAUAUUUAAUGAAAAAGUAUAAUUAUUGUCUGUUGCUACAUUGAUUGUUA